UACGUAGGGGGCUAGCGUUGUCCGGAAUCAUUGGGCGUAAAGCGCGUGUAGGCGGUCCGGGUAAGUCCGCUGUGAAAGUCGGGGGCUCAACCCUCGGAUGCCGGUGGAUACUGUCGGGCUUGAGUACGGAAGAGGCGAGUGGAAUCCUGGUGUAGCGGUGAAAUGCGCAGAUAUCAGGAGGAACACCAAUUGCGGAAGGCAGCUCGCUGGGACGUUACUGCGCUGAGACGCGAAAGCGUGGGGAGCAAACAGGAUUGAGAUACCC
rnacentral:rRNA from 1 species